rnacentral:tRNA from 1 species
CAAUAAGAAGCUAUAAAGCGGUCAAUUUCGACCUGACAUAAUGGUAAAUCUACCCUUAUUGA